CAAGUGCGAUACGUAGUGCGAGACGCACCUGUGAGACAUCGAGUUUUUGAACGCAUUUUGCACUCGCAAGAGUACGUCUGCCAGAGUCGAGCGAAGACUAGAUACGAGUAUUGAGUUGAGUGCUGCGCACUUGCAGUGCAUGGAGAGUGCAAUGAUCUUGCGGUUCUCACACAUCUGUCGCUCUGGUCAGACGAGAGUACCCGCCGAACUUAA
rnacentral:misc_RNA from 1 species